UACGUAGGGUGCAAGCGUUAUCCGGAAUUAUUGGGCGUAAAGAGCUCGUAGGCGGUUUGUCGCGUCUGCUGUGAAAACUGGGGGCUCAACCCCCAGCCUGCAGUGGGUACGGGCAGACUGGAGUGCGGUAGGGGAGAUUGGAAUUCCUGGUGUAGCGGUGAAAUGCGCAGAUAUCGGGAGGAACACCAGUAGCGAAGGCGGCACUCUGGGCCGGUACUGACGCUGAGGAGCGAAAGCGUGGGGAGCAAACAGG
rnacentral:rRNA from 1 species